CGACUGUUAGUAUUUCAGCUCGUUCUCCGCGUAGGAGCGUCGGAUCGCGACGAAACUUGGUUCAUUGGAUUCUAGACUGCGAGAGGAUUCCACGGAGCCCUCACUUGCAAUUUUUGGUCAAGCUUGGCGUUGGCUUGGCGACCGGACUUGGAGAUCCCCGAUUGAUCCAGCAGAGUUCCUUUUAGGCCGAGGCUUCGUUUGCUGCCAGGAGAUAGCACUUUAGAGCCACAGGUUUCGGCU